rnacentral:rRNA from 1 species
UACGUAGGGUGCGAGCGUUGUCCGGAAUUAUUGGGCGUAAAGAGCUCGUAGGCGGUGUGUCACGUCGUUCGUGAAAACCUGCAGCUUAACUGUGGGCGUGCGGUCGAUACGGGCAUCACUGGAGUUCGGCAGGGGAGACUGGAAUUCCUGGUGUAGCGGUGAAAUGCGCAGAUAUCAGGAGGAACACCAGUGGCGAAGGCGAGUCUCUGGACGACUCCUGACACUGAGGCACGAAAGCUGGGGGAGCAAACAGG